rnacentral:rRNA from 1 species
UACGUAGGGUGCGAGCGUUGUCCGGAAUUAUUGGGCGCAAAGGGCUCGUAGGCGGUUCGUCGCGUCGGCUGUGAAAACCCGGAGCUCAACUCCGGGCCUGCAGUCGAUACGGGCGGACUUGAGUGUUGCAGGGGAGACUGGAAUUCCUGGUGUAGCGGUGAAAUGCGCAGAUAUCAGGAGGAACACCGGUGGCGAAGGCGGGUCUCUGGGCAACUACUGACGCUGAGGAGCGAAAGCGUGGGGAGCGAACAGG